rnacentral:rRNA from 1 species
GACGAGGCACUACGGUGCUGAAGCAACAAAUGCCCUGCUUCCAGGAAAAGCCUCUAAGCAUCAGGUAACAUCAAAUCGUACCCCAAACCGACACAGGUGGUCAGGUAGAGAAUACCAAGGCGCUUGAGAGAACUCGGGUGAAGGAACUAGGCAAAAUGGUGCCGUAACUUCGGGAGAAGGCACGCUGACACGUAGGUGAAGUGAUUUACUCAUGGAGCUGAAGUCAGUCGAAGAUACCAGCUGGCUGCAACUGUUUAUUAAAAACACAGCACUGUGCAAACACGAAAGUGGACGUAUACGGUGUGACGCCUGCCCGGUGCCGGAAGGUUAAUUGAUGGGGUCAGCGCAAGCGAAGCUCCUGAUCGAAGCCCCGGUAAACGGCGGCCGUAACUAUAACGGUCCUAAGGUAGCGAAAUUCCUUGUCGGGUAAGUUCCGACCUGCACGAAUGGCGUAAUGAUGGCCAGGCUGUCUCCACCCGAGACUCAGUGAAAUUGAACUCGCUGUGAAGAUGCAGUGUACCCGCGGCAAGACGGAAAGACCCCGUGAACCUUUACUAUAGCUUGACACUGAACAUUGAGCCUUGAUGUGUAGGAUAGGUGGGAGGCUUUGAAGUGUGGACGCCAGUCUGCAUGGAGCCGACCUUGAAAUACCACCCUUUAAUGUUUGAUGUUCUAACGUGGACCCGUAAUCCGGGUUGCGGACAGUGUCUGGUGGGUAGUUUGACUGGGGCGGUCUCCUCCUAAAGAGUAACGGAGGAGCACGAAGGUUGGCUAAUCCUGGUCGGACAUCAGGAGGUUAGUGCAAUGGCAUAAGCCAGCUUGACUGCGAGCGUGACGGCGCGAGCAGGUGCGAAAGCAGGUCAUAGUGAUCCGGUGGUUCUGAAUGGAAGGGCCAUCGCUCAACGGAUAAAAGGUACUCCGGGGAUAACAGGCUGAUACCGCCCAAGAGUUCAUAUCGACGGCGGUGUUUGGCACCUCGAUGUCGGCUCAUCACAUCCUGGGGCUGAAGUAGGUCCCAAGGGUAUGGCUGUUCGCCAUUUAAAGUGGUACGCGAGCUGGGUUUAGAACGUCGUGAGACAGUUCGGUCCCUAUCUGCCGUGGGCGCUGGAGAACUGAGGGGGGCUGCUCCUAGUACGAGAGGACCGGAGUGGACGCAUCACUGGUGUUCGGGUUGUCAUGCCAAUGGCACUGCCCGGUAGCUAAAUGCGGAAGAGAUAAGUGCUGAAAGCAUCUAAGCACGAAACUUGCCCCGAGAUGAGUUCUCCCUGAGACUUAGAGUCUCCUGAAGGAACGUUGAAGACGACGACGUUGAUAGGCCGGGUGUGUAAG